CCCUCCGCCCGCUCCCGCCCCGCUCCGCCCUCUCAGCAGCAGUGGCGCCCUCACGGGCGAGCUAGAGAGGAGUUCCCGCCUGCACUGAAAGAAUAGCUCAACAUCUGUCAUUCCAUUCUCUGCAAUGGCCCAAAAUCAGGAAGAAUACAGCUGUCCUGUUCCUUUCAGAUACUUCUGGGAUAGAGAGGUUGGGACUUAAACUACAACUGCUGAGUGCUGGAUGAAGUUGAAAACAUGGGAAGUAAAUUAGCUUUUGACUUACGCCUGUAUGGAUCAGAGAAGAGAGAAGAGGAGGGAGGAGAUAGAGAUGGAAGAGGCCAGGAGGGAUAUGUUACCAUGUAAAAGAAGUGUUUGACCAUAUAAUCUCAUCAGUUCUUAUGGUUUAAUAGCCAUCAAAUUAGUCAAAAGCAAAAGCCAGAAUAGAAAUUCAAGUAACUUACUGAAUUAAUUACACUACCCUCUUCCAGUAGUUGGGCUGCCUGUCACAUGCAUAGUGACAGUCAGGCUAUAGUUAUAUGGUUAUUUUCACUUGGCUUAUGUCCAUGCUGCCACUGAAAGAACA